AGGGGACAACGUUUCAAUCUGAUG
rnacentral:siRNA from 1 species